rnacentral:rRNA from 1 species
AUGAACACGAAUCCAAACGCGAAACACUGGCUGCUGGAAAUGCAUGAUCAAUUAACGCACGAGAGGUUCGUUCUGCUGGUGGUCACCCUUUGGGCCACAUGGAGAGCACGACGUAAGGCGAUAUAUGAAGGGGUUUUUCAGAGUCCUGAAGGAACUAACCAGUUCAUCAAGUCAUACAUAGUGGACCUGCAAACUAUCGCUGCUGUGGGCAGUGGUCAGGAACAACAUCAAGCGGCGAGACCUAGCCAUUGGAUUGCACCACCGGACACGUAUGCGAAGAUCAAUGUGGAUGCGGCGACCGCAACCAACCGAGGAGUUGCUGCUGCUAUCUGUCGAGAUCAAGCUGGCAUCUUUCAAGGUGCUUCGGCUCUGGUUAUCAAGGGAACCAAUGAUCCACCAACGCUCGAAGCAUUAGCAGUCAAAGAGGCUUUGGCGCUUGCCGAUGAUCUUAAUAGCCGCAGAAUACAUGUCGCUUCUGACUGCAAAGUUGUACUGGACGACAUCAAGAACAAAACACCGGCUAUCUAUGGAGCUAUUCUGCAUGAAAUCAUAGAUCAUAGUUCCACUUUUAUUUCAUGUACCUUUGUGCAUGAGUUUAGGAGCUCGAAUUUCGAGGCUCACAAUCUAGCGAAGCAUAGUUUGAAUUUGGGGGUUGGCCGCCAUGUGUGGUUAGGCAAUCCUGGGGCUGGUGCUCGGCCUUAUUUUAACGCGCGGUGCGACGUCCGUUUGUCGCUGACGAGGCGGGCCGUGGAUCAGUUUCGGCGUUCUCGUCUGAUCCGUGGACCAGGAAGUCGAUGGGCCCAGGCGGAAAUUGUACGGGUGGUCUGGUUCCUUCGUGACCUCACUUCGGAGCUCGAGGCUGGCGGCGGCGGCGACCCCAUGGAGUUCCUGAUGCAGCCUAUACGCCGAGGUGGUGGGAGCGAGUUUGGUGCCCCCACCAGUACCGCGGAGCCGACUGUGGUGGCUAUGGUGGUGGAGCAUCAGGUGGUGGUGGAACAGGUGGUGGCGGCGCAGGAGGCUCCGAUGGGCAGCGUGGACGCACAGAUCUUGGCGACCAAGGGAGCGUCGGCUGAUAUGAGGGACAGCUUGCCACCGACCUCGGAGCUUGGCAACGAGGCGGGGCAGCUGAGCUACGGAUCGGAAUCGGCAGAAAGUAGGGAAAGUUUGGUGCCAUGCGAUUUGCUGCAAAUGGGACUGCCGAAUCAGGUGGAGGUGCCGCGGCAGCAUCCCACGGCAGGAUCUUCGGGCCUGCUGCGGUGGUGGCGAACAGAAGGGAUAACUCGCCUAGUUGCCUUCAACCAUCGGGCUCUCCGCGGGGAAGAUGAAUCCCCAGGCCCCGGCUGA